GUAACUAUUUUCUAUGCUUCUUCUUCACUUCUCAGUUUUAAGAGUGUGAUCCAUGUGCUCAAUUUAUUGUUCAAAUGUUGAAUCCAGAAGAUAUUUGUACCAGUGUUAAGAAUCAUACCGUCACCAAGUUUUUCGGAUUGGUUUCGAAAUUGGAUUUAAAAGGAUGAAAAACUCAUCCAAUCUAAAUAUGAUCGUUUGUCCACACAAAUUCGACAACAUUUCCGUCAACAAUACAAAUACGAAUAUUGUGGCUAUGCAGCCGGAAACAAGGAUCGUCUUGAUUUUCACAUUGGCAUACAUUUACAAUAUUAACCCAUUAACCUAUUAAUGGCCAUGAUCCUAUAUAUAGGAUAUUUAUUAUUGAAGACAAAUAAUUUUAAAACUAUUCAUUCAAUUUUUUUAAAAUUAAAAGCAUUUUAUUUCACGUUUAAUUAGCUUUGAAAUGAUAUAUAACUCAUCUGUAUUAUCUUUAUCUAAGUACAGUUAAUUUAAUCUUGAUUGUCAAAAAGUCGGCUUUUCUGAAUGACUGAAUGGAUUUAAGAAUUCAAAGUGUUGUAAGAUCAUUUUAUAUUCCGAAAAUGAUAAUAAUUUAUAUUAGAAAAAUGUAAAAUGAUCUUCAAAUAACAUUUUUAAUUACGAGUUAUCAAAUCCAAAUUAGAACUAAUUACCGCAAUGAUGAUUUCCCGGUGAUCCUAUAUAUAGGAUCAUGGGCAUUCAAAGUACUGAAAUAUCAACUUCUGGUAAUUAUUGAAACCUAUCUAUUACAUCUUAGUAUCUCUUGUUUUCUAUGUAGGGCUAGCAUAUUUUCCCAAACAAAAAUCCGGACAAUUCAUUGAUCAGUAUUUCUCAACUAUAGGAUCACCAUCUUUAUUACUUACUAGUAGAUAUCGGUAUCUAUUUAUUUAUUCAAUCAUCAAUUUGUAUGAAAAAGACGGUACUGAUUGACUGUAUUUAUUUAUUAACAUAGAAAUAAAAUAUGCCAUUUUCGUAUGAAUUACACAAUUACAUUAUCUAAUGCAGUUCAAUUAUAAUUAAUUCAGUGAUAUAUCAAAC